rnacentral:tRNA from 1 species
GCCCAGUUAGCUUAGUUGGUAGUGCGUCUGCCUUGUAAGCGCUAGGCCGUGGGUUCGAUUCCCACCCGGGGCG